UGGGAGGACCUCUCAUGUGGGGCAAGU
rnacentral:piRNA from 1 species